GCGCGGCGCAGUUUCAGAUGUCCCAAGGAGCAGGAGGAUCUCUUUAACACACACACUCUCAGGCCAGGGGCGUGAUUUUGCCAGCUAAAGGCCGUUUACACUCGGAGUUCUGCGGACUCGUCAGAGGUUGUAAAAAUGCCGGAGCCACGAAAGCCAGCAAAGAGCUGUUGCUCGCCUUGCUGCUGCUGCUGCUGCUGCUGCCGUCCCUGCCCGUGCUGCAGCUGCUACUCCUGCUGCUGCUGCUGCUGCUUGUUGCUGAUUGUUGCCGUUGCGGGUUGCUGUUUGCUGUUUGCUGCGGGCUGGAUUGCUGGAUUGCUGAUUGCCGGUCGGCGAUAUCCCGAGGAUGAAGAUCAAACUUGCCCCAAGGAAUUCAACAACCCUAAGAAGUAGUCUAAUGAUUUCAAUAUCCCCUCUCCCCCUCUGACCUUUCUCUCUUACCUUAUGUUGGGGGAUUGGAAGGGUGGUAGGAAAAAGAACCCAAUAAAGUAGCCAAAAGU
rnacentral:lncRNA from 1 species